rfam:Lachancea dasiensis CBS 10888 genome assembly, chromosome: G
GGGCUAAUGGCGCAGUUUUGGUAGCGCGUUCGCUUCGCAUGUGAAAGGUCACCGGUUCAAACCCGGUUUAGUCCA